rnacentral:rRNA from 1 species
GAUGAACGCUGGCGGCGUGCCUAAUACAUGCAAGUCGAGCGAACAGACGAGGAGCUUGCUCCUCUGACGUUAGCGGCGGACGGGUGAGUAACACGUGGAUAACCUACCUAUAAGACUUGGAUAACUGCGGGAAACCGGAGCUAAUACCGGAUAAUAUAUUGAACCGCAUGGUUCAAUAGUGAAAGACGGUUUUGCUGUCACUUAUAGAUGGAUCCGCGCCGCAUUAGCUAGUUGGUAAGGUAACGGCUUACCAAGGCAACGAUGCGUAGCCGACCUGAGAGGGUGUACGGCCACACUGGAACUGAGACACGGUCCAGACUCCUACGGGAGGCAGCAGUAGGGAAUCUUCCGCAAUGGGCGGAAGACUGACGGAGCGACGCCGCGUGAGUGAUGAAGGUCUUCGGAUCGUAAAACUCUGUUAUUAGGGAAGAACAAAUGUGUAAGUAACUAUGCACGUCUUGACGGUACCUAAUCAGAAAGCCACGGCUAACUACGUG